rnacentral:ncRNA from 2 species
AAGAGAACUUUGGGGAGCCUACUGGCUGAGAGUAAACGAAAGUUUUGACCCAUAACCUGAUUUGGAUAAUGCCAACGUAGGAUAAGUUUGAUUCGUCAUA